rnacentral:rRNA from 1 species
ACUCAAAGGAAUAGACGGGGGCCCGCACAAGCGGUGGAGCAUGUGGUUUAAUUCGACGCAACGCGAAGAACCUUACCUGGGUUUGAACUCCAGAGGACAGCCGGUCAAAGCCGGUCUUCCUUCGGGACCUCUGGAGAGGUGCUGCAUGGCUGUCGUCAGCUCGUGUCGUGAGAUGUUGGGUUAAGUCCCGUAACGAGCGCAACCCCUACCCUUAGUUGCCAGCGUGUCAUGACGGGAACUCUAAGGGAACCGCCGGUGAUAAACCGGAGGAAGGUGGGGAUGACGUCAAGUCCUCAUGGCCUCUAUGCCCAGGGCCACACACGUGCUACAAUGGUCGGUACAAAGGGUUGCCAAGCCGUAAGGUGGAGCUAAUCCCAAAAAGCCGGUCUCAGUUCGGAUUGGGGGCUGCAACUCGCCCCCAUGAAGGUGGAAUCGCUAGUAAUCGCGGAUCAGCACGCCGCGGUGAAUACGUUCCCGGGCCUUGUACACACCGCCCGU